rnacentral:lncRNA from 1 species
AAAUUUUGAGAUGCAUUCUUUGCUGUUCCAGUAAAGAUUGUCAUGAAACUGAAAGGGCUCCUGGGAGACAAACUCUCUACUCGGAACAUCGAAUCACAACACUUCUCUCAGGAAUUCUAGUUUUACUAACCACGAUCUACUGCGUCGAGAUGAUCCAAGCAAAUUCUAUUACUACGGAUAUUACCCGCAUGUAUCAAUUAGUAAGUAAACUACACAGCAGCCUAAUGCUAUGUCACAGCAAUCCGAAUAUGGUAACAAGUCGUCACUGAAAGGGAAUAAUGAAGAGUCUCAGUUUGAAGAGCUCAAGACCACCACCACCUUCAUCCUCCUAUUACACAUGUUCAUCAUCACCUAAUAAAUCACAGUCCUUGACACAAUUGUCAUCAUUCCCCGAACCUGCAUCUGCUUUGUCUACGCCAUUUCUAUCACCAAAAGGGCCCCCACUGUCAUCUUCUAGCACUUCAUAACCUGCAUCCUUCAUCCCAAGCAUCUUUGUCGUUGUCUAACCCUGCACUGUCUGCUCUCAGUCAAUCUUUAUCAUCACCUAAACCACCUUCAUUUAAUUCUGAACAACAUCAAUUACGUGCUAAGCCACCAGCAUCUCCAUCUCCCCGUAAAUCCUCUCAAUCUCUAUCUGGUUCUACUUUGACGACGAAAGACGCAGUGCCUAAAGUUUUGAAGAAGCCGUUGUCUCAGAAGGCUCCUUCAUCUUCUCAGCCUACCCUUUCUCCAUUCCCUUCUGAUUCAACAAAUCAGCAGAAAAAUGAUAGCUAUUUAUUGGUUGAGAAGGGCGCAUCCAAUUACAAGAUUCCUAAGGAUAUUGAAGAUUUGGUUAAGAAAGACAUUGUGCCUGACGUUUUGAAGAAGCCAUUGUCUCCCUCUACCUACAAAGAUUACUUUGCUGCACGGCUAGAUGCCGAGGAUUUCUACUAUGAGGUGACUAAUUAAUUAUGCCCUUUCUUCCUGUUUUACUUUAUUGUCUGAUUUCACGCGAUACAACCUCACUUCUACUAUCAUAUGUUGUAUAUAAUUUCUUUUCAUUGAAGACAUAUUUGUUCUGAUUAAUGCCGAACCACUCACUCAUGGUUAUGCUGCAAUUAAGAUGGUUUCUGAUUAAGUAAUCUAUGUACAUCAUAGUUAUGGAAAAGAUUUCAAAAUAGCCAGUACAAUUUACAAUGAAUCAAAGUUGACGCAUGGGAGCAUUAAAAAAUCUAGGGAGCUCUGUUAGAAAGGAUAUGAUUUGGGCUGGUAGCAGGUUGUAUUAAGCCAGAUUUCCGUUAUUCUGGGACCUCUUAAAGAAUCUAUCUAACCCGUCCGUGUAAGAAAUAGAACCAAACAGCAGAGAUUAUUAGAAUGGAUUAUAUUAUUUUACAAAAAAUGGCGCUAUCCACGCCCAACUAGUUUCCUUACAGAACCCCUUGAAAAACCAAUGAGAAAUUAUUACAGUGUAUCAGAUCAUAUUAACAAGAUUGGUGCUAUUUGCUCAUCACUUAUUUUCCUUAAUUAUAUUAAUACAAGUGAACUGAAAUAGUGAAAUGUUUAGAAACAUAAUUUGGAGAGUGUUGGAUUGGGGUUUGCUUCACUCAGGUGGGAAAGCAAAUUACGGGACAUCCAUAAUCCAUAGUUGCUUUAGACUUUCUGUAUACUUUGAUAUUUUACUGCAUUUUAAUUUACAUGAGAUGACAUGAUAAAUACAAAUAAUUACAAAUUUCAGAUAUUGUGACCAGUAUUUUUUUUAAUUCUUAUAUUUUGCCUAGAUGAUUUUGUGGAGAAACAGACUAUUGAUGUGACACCCUAGGCAAAUCUCACAUUGGUAAAGUACGAGAGAGAUGCUGGGUAUAUAAGGGGUGAUCUACACAUUAAUUGGCUUUGGGGUGUAUGGGCACCCCAUGAACAAAACCGUGCGGGCCUUAUUAAGGCCCAAAGCGGACAAUAUUUUACCAAGUUUGGGUUGGGUCAUAACAACUGAAUAUAAAUUCUUUCUCAUAAGAUAUAAAAAUAAGGGUGGGACAGAUGCAUUUUCAUUUUCCCUUCUUAAAUGGGUCCAAUUGUACUUGUAUUUAUGUGUUUUUCCCAUAUCUUUAUUUGUGCUUCUCUAUAGGAACUUUACUUGUAUUUUAUGUCUUUGAUUUGAUCAGAAGUGGAGUGAUUUUCAGCUAUUGAAUGUAACGUUGGAAUUAGGUGAAGCUACUCUAUAUGCUAAGUCACUCAAGAACAAGCAUUUGAAGAAGCAUGAUAAGAAAGAUGUUAGAUUCUUUGUAACCUUCGAAAUUGAUUCUGUUCCUGGGAAACGGCCAUUUCUCUUAUCUAGGGAUUUUGUUUAUGCACAAUGUUCAGGUGGAAUAUCAAGGAAGUUUCAAGCAAGUCUCCUUAUCUCACAAACAUAUAAUUUGUAGAAUCUCUUGCCGUGCUUUAGUGUGGUUGAUUUGCAUAUAAGCCAAAUUGAAAAUUCUAUUUUAUGCCUCUUUCUCCCUAAAUUUUGAAAUUUUUGUAGUAAUAUUAUAGUUACACAUUUCAAAAUAAAAUUUUAACAAUGCCAUUCGAAUUUUGAAAGCCUGCUAAUUUCACACUUGUUGUAAGAAUGGGAGCAUGAGGUAGGACAAUAAGAAAGGAUGGAUUAGUGAUAGAGUAGAAAAAAGAGCCCGUAAGUGGAAAAAGAAAUAGAGAGAAGAAAGGGAGAUACCCAUUUUUCAUUAUUCCAAUAACUAUCAUUUAUAAAACAAAAAUUAAUGCCCUAUUAUUGUGGCCAACAGAUAACUAAUAAUGGCAGACCAUAAUCAACUUCUUAGCAAAAAACGAAAUCUACUAGUAAUACAUGAUGAAAAAAUAAAUCAACCAAGGUAACUCCUUAUUCAGCAUUUCCUAAAUCUAUAUAACUUCAUUCUACAUCAUUGUGUCAUUUUGAUGGAAGCGACUGAACCUGACAGAUUAUAAUUUAAUUGUUGUGUGUGGCAUCCUAACAAAUCAACAUAAACUUCUGCUAGAUUUUUCAUACAAGUGAGUAAGUGCAUAAAUUUUUUACAUGACCACACAUUGAAGUCUGACCUUAUAUGGCCGUUUCAUUAAAAUUUUAUCAAUCCAACCAUUAUUUUUCAGUUUGAACUUCAGUUGAGGAACAAAUGCGCUGUUUAAGAACAUAUUAUAAUUUUUGCACAAGGACAUCCAUUGAGUUUAGUGACGAGCCAAACUAAGCCUGAUUGAUAUUUCCUUGAUAGAAAUUAUUUGAUCUUUUUCCAGUCAUGCAAUUUGGAAACUAAUUUUUCUACGUUUGAGACCCAUUUCCAUCUGGUUAAUCUCGAUUGAAUUUGUACGAAGUGGUAACAUGUAAUGUAGCUUGGACUUAGUCAUUUUGUUUUAUGGUUUCAUACCUCCAUCUUUUCCAGAAUACCUGACCGGGGUAUUCUUUGUCGAGUGGUGAACAGUACUAACGUGUUGGUUGAAUUUGAAAAAGGAAUUUUAUUCUCAGCACCAACAGAACUGCAAAUAUGAUAUUAGCUUCUCAUUCAACAGAGUGUUUGAAACGGGCUCACCAGUCAACUGCAGCUGUGUCAGAUCAGUUAUUCCAGAACUGCCUUUUCCCUGUUUUUGCCUGUCAUAAACAUAUACCUUCGUCAGAACCUCACUUUUACGGCAAUUGUAAACUUGAUUUGGAUGGCAAUUCUGCAGUGCGUCAGACAUUGAGCUUACAGGGCCAGGCGGCCAGCCACCUUAUCUUGUGGAGGAUCCACUCUGUGACUAGAAAGAAAAAAGGAAUUACAAGAUGAAGAUGUAUUUGAGUACGUACUUUCAAAAAACUGGAAAUGUUGUUCGAGAAGCAGUGCUCCAAAUUUGUCAGAGGUUACCAAAUAGUCGAAUUCUCAUAUGUGCUCCUUCAAACAGAACAUGUGAUGUGCUAAUGAAAACUUUGACGAAGGUUAUUCCAGAGUCAGAUAUGUUUCAGGCCAAUGCUGUAACACCCCAAUUCGACUAACAAGAUACUACGGUGAAAUUGAGGUGGAACUGCAUUUUAUCAAUCUAACUUCUAAAACCACCAAAACAACAUCCAAUGAUAAAUGUUCUAAAUAGCAUUUAGAGAAAUGGAUGAGGUAACAGAUGACAUCUUCCAGGUGUUGAAGGGACUUGUCCUCCACUUGAGCAACUGAGACAAUACGCGGUGAUAUCUUCAACUUUUGCGAGUCGCUUUCGCCUUCACAAUAAAGGCAUUACUUUUUUUUUUUGGGUCUUAACCACGAGCAGCAGUCGCAGGGUCUCAACUGUGGGAGACACUUUUAAGUAUGUAACACAAUUUAAAUUAGAAGUCUCGCUCGAAUCGGAAGGCACAUAUUCUCCCAACAAAGGUGACUUCCCAACUAUUCGAACUGAAAAACAAAUUAAAUCAAGCUACUUAAGGGGACUCUAUUGCUAAUGGAGCCAACGCCUUGUUGGUCAAUAAAGGCAUUACUGCUGGAUAUUUUAGUCACAUUUUUCUUGUUGAUGCAUCGCCUACCAUCGAGCCAGAUGCACUGAUAGUUCUCAGUAAUUUGGCAAAUGAGAACACGACUGUAAUAGUCUCUGGUGCUUCUUAUGACCAUCCACGUUGGAUCCGAUCUCAUAUUGCUAAGAAGAAUGGAUUAGAGAUGGUAUAUUUUGAAAGACUUUGUUUUUCCGAGGCAUAUAGGAGUUGCCAUCCAAUGUUUCUAUUCGCGGCUGUCAACUUCCAUAGAAUAAAUCCGAUAGUUGUCUUCCAUUCACCCAUAUCAAUCUGCUAGUGGAGGUAACUAACGGAAACCUCUCCUGUAACUAAUUUGCUGCUGCUCGUGAUGUUGUUACUACUUGCCUCGUGUAUGUAUGUGUGGAUGCGAGAACAUUUUCUCUGUAACGAUAGUUCAAUACUCGUUACUCUUUUAUCUAUUUAAGGUUGUGACAGCUGUUUGCAAUUCUUUAUAUACAAAGAUUAGACCGUUCUUAUCCGUUGGCAAAGAAAAUUAGCCCAUUAAAUUCAAGCCGAUGAAUACACCGCCAAGCAAGAGGCGCAGUGACAAUAUCAACUAAGCGCGUUCUGGUUUUGCUUAUUUUUAUUUUUAAAUAUGAACGGAAUUCACUAAUAUCCGUUAAAAGAAUAAGUCACGUGGGAAGGGGAACCUCGUACGCUCGUACUAAAAGCCCAAAAAUGAAAAAUCUCUCAAAAUAUGAACGCUCGCUUAUUUUUAAUCUUUUUUAUUGUAAAUAUAAUAAUACAUUUAUUGCUUUAUUGGUGGGAAUUGGAAAUUUGGAACCCCGGACUCCGCAAAAUUUCCGCUUUGGUCAGCUUUCACUGUCUCAUCUCAUCUAGUCAUUAAAGCCCUUGCCGCGGGCGCAAGUGAUGACGUGGCGAUACUUGGUUGGGUUUGUAUAAUACUAGAAACGUCCGAGCUCUUCUUUUUCCUGCCUACUCAUUCAUGGCUUUUGAAGUGCUUCACUUUCACUGUCACCGAGUUAUUUGAAGAACAUAAAGUCAGAAAAGCUGAUCCGACAAUCAUCCCCAUAAUCCCACAUCUGCACAACAGCCAGAAGGUAAUCCUUCUUCCAUUUGAUCUUCAUUUACUUUGAUGUCAACAUAGUUUAUUAUCUUUGCCUAUGGUUACAGUCGUGCAUAGAUUAGUCAUAGCUUCUAGUGUUUAAUGGGGUUCAAUUUACUUUUAACAUUUCAACAACAUGCAGUCUCUUUCUUGUUCAGACUUAUCAUUUUUAAUUGUGUAACAAAGACGAAGACUUCUCUCAUUCAUUUAGUUUCAGAAUGAUAAUUACUUUCUUUGGUGUAAUUAAGUUUAUCUAUUCAUUGUUACAAACUUCAACCCUAAGAUUUCUCAUCAAAUGAACUAUAGGGAUUCAAAUUAUCACUCUCUGCAUCUCUCUCUAAACAUAAAUUGAUUUGCAUGUUUGAUUUAAUUUAUAUGCCUGAUCCUCUAAUUAUUCCUUGAUUUUUAGUUGUCUUGGUUAAAAACAGACUGUAGAGUUAAUUAGAUUUCAUAGAGAUGUACUCAGUGCAGCUGAUUAUUAUUAUUGUUUAUUUGUAUUCUUGAUAAAACCAAAUAGAGGAAAGAUGUAUAAAUGCAUGUUCUUUGGUUGCAGAGCAACAUGUCUGUGCUCGUUAAAAUUUUGAGAUGCAUUUUUUGCUGUUACGAUGAAGAUUAUCAUGAUACUGAAAGGGACUAUCGGGCGAGAUUACUUGGAACAUAUAAUCACAACUCUUCUGUCGGGAAUUCUAGUUAUCACAACUCUUCUGUCAGGAAUUCUAGCUUUACUAAUCACGAUCUUCUGCGUCAACAUGAUUCAAACAAAAUCUAUUACUAUGAAUAUUAUCCGAAUGUGUCAAUUAGUGAGCCAACUACAAAGCAGCCUAAUGCUAUGUCACAGCAAACAGAAUAUGGUAACAAAUCGUCACUGAAAGGGAAUAAUGAAGUGUCUCAGAGUUUAAAGAGCUCAAGACCAUCACCACCUUCAUCCUCCUGUUACACAUGUUCAUCAUCACCUAAUAAAUCACAGUCCUUA